GAUAUACUUAAGAGAAGGUAUAGGUACACGGUACGCGGAAUUUUUUCAUAGGAAGAAUUCUUUGACAUCGCGCCUGGCCAUUUGUAAGAGGUAAUUUUCAUAGUUAAUUGAACUUAACAGAUUAAACGUGAAAAGGUAACAAAUUAAACGUAAAAGGUACUAAAUCCUGGCGUAAUAACAAUAGUUGUAGCGUAGCGUUUUUUCUUAAAAACGAAAUCGAUACGGUGAAAAAUCGAAGCGCCUGUAAAAUUGUAAUAGCAAUGUAAAGUGUAAAAUGAGUAAAACUCGGAAACCACAAAUAAUGUGGCUCAAUUUAUAAAUGAAUAUGAAAGUACUAAAAAGGUACUAAAAUUUGGCUUUUAUAGAAUUUAUCAAUAAUCGCGGGAUCAUUGCGUAAUAAAAUACACCCGCCAUUCUGACUGUCAGAAUGGCGGGUGUAAUGUUUUUUGGGUUCCGUAGCCAAAUGGCAAAAAACGGAACCCUUAUGGAUUCGUCAUGUCUGUUUGUCUGUCUGUCUGUCUGUCUGUCUGUCUGUCUGUCUGUCUGUCUGCCUGCCUGUCUGUCUGUCUGUCUGUCUGUCCGUCCGUAUGUCAUAGCCACUUUUUUCCGAAACUAUAAGAACUAUGCUGUUGAAACAUGGUAAGUAGAAGUAUUCUGUAAACCGCAUUAAGAUUUUCACACAAAAAUAGAAAAAAAAAAAAUUUUGGGGGUUGCCCAUACUUAGAACUAACUGAAUCUCAAAAAUUUUUUUUCAUCAAAUCCAUACGUGUGGGGUAUUCAUGGAUAGGUCUUCAAAAAUGAUAUUGAGGUUUCUAAUAUUAUUUUUUUCUAAACUGUAUAGUUUGCAUAGUUUACGCGAGAGACACUUCCAAAGUGGUAAAAUGUAUCCCCCCCCCCCCCUGUAACUUCUAAAAUAAGAGAAUGAUAAAACUAAAAAAAUAUAUGAUGUACAUUACCAUGCAAACUUCCAAGGAAAAUUAGUUUGAACGAGAUCUAGUAAGUAGUUUUUUUUUAAUACGUCAUAAAUCAUACGGAACCCUUCAA